rnacentral:lncRNA from 1 species
CGAGAACUUGAUGCAAACAGCAAGAGCCUUUGUUAUUCAGUAACUGAGUUCGUGGUUUCGCUGAUUCCUGGGUGCGGGUCUCUUCUGAGGUCUUUCAUUUGGGGGCUCGUCCGGGAUUGAGACCCGCCCAGGGACCACCGACCCACGUCUGGGAGGUAAAAGACACCCCAAGGGCCCCCCCUUCCUUUCCCCCUCUAACCGCCCGCCGCCGCCCCCGCCAGAGGCAGAAGCGGCCGCCGCCGCCUAGGUCCCCUUAACCUCGGAGGAGAAACAGCUGCCCAAUGAAAUUGAUGCAGCUUGCCCUCUUAAAAGACCUGAAUGGGAUUUUACCACUGAAGCAGGUUUCUGCUUCUGACAGACAUCUGAGUACCAGUUGCUGACUUCAGACUGUUCUAAGUAGACUGCGAACCCUAGACUUGCUAUGGAUGUGAACCAGUCUGCUGAUGUGGACACCCCCUAUCUCUGCAACAGUGUCUGCUAACCAGAAGCCCCUGAUGGAUUCCCCAUUGCCUAAAUUCCUUUUUGUUUUUGACUAGCAUUUCAACCUUCUGGGGUCCUUAACUUCGUCCCAAAGUCAGCAGGAAGCAGUUUGGAAAAGAAUUUCGCCGUCCAUUCUCCCUGGUUGAAAUGCUAAGUCAAAGGGAACUUCCUUGCGAGGGGAUGCCAGUACCUAUCACUCCCUGAUGGGGACACUAGAGACUGGGUCCUCCUACUCCCCCUAGCAUACCCCUAGGCCAUAUGGGCUCACACCUUUUAAAAAA